AUACUUACCUGGCCGGGGAGAUACUAUGAUCACAAAUGUGUUUUUCCCAGGUUGAGGCUUAUCCAUUGUACUAUGGAUGUACUGACCCCUGUGAUUUCCCCAAAUGUUAGAAAUCAUUCAACUGCAUGAUUUGUGGUAAUGGGGUACUGCAUUCAUGCUUUUCCCUG